rnacentral:rRNA from 1 species
UGGGGAAUAUUGCACAAUGGGCGAAAGCCUGAUGCAGCAACGCCGCGUGAGUGAUGAAGGUCUUCGGAUUGUAAAGCUCUGUCUUUUGGGACGAUAAUGACGGUACCAAAGGAGGAAGCCACGGCUAACUACGUGCCAGCAGCCGCGGUAAUACGUAGGUGGCGAGCGUUGUCCGGAUUUACUGGGCGUAAAGGGUGCGUAGGCGGAUGUUUAAGUGAGAUGUGAGAUACCCGGGCUUAACUUGGGUGCUGCAUUUCAAACUGGAUAUCUAGAGUGCAGGAGAGGAGAAUGGAAUUCCUAGUGUAGCGGUGAAAUGCGUAGAGAUUAGGAAGAACACCAGUGGCGAAGGCGAUUCUCUGGACUGUAACUGACGCUGAGGCACGAAAGCGUGGGUAGCAAACAGGAUUAGAUACCCUGGUAGUCCACGCCGUAAACGAUGAGUACUAGGUGUAGGAGGUAUCGACCCCUUCUGU